rnacentral:tRNA from 1 species
ACCUGGCUGGCUCAAUCAGUGGAGCAUGGGACUCUUGAUCUCAGGGUUGUGGGUUUGAGCCUAUGUUGGCUA